rnacentral:rRNA from 2 species
UUAGAUGUCCGGGGCCGCACGCGCGCUACACUGAAGGAAUCAGCGUGUGCUUACCCCUGUCCGGCAGGAUUGGGUAACCCGUUGAACCUCCUUCGUGAUAGGGAUAGGGGCUUGUAAUUAUUCCCCUUGAACGAGGAAUUCCCAGUAAGCGCGAGUCAUAAGCUCGCGUUGAUUACGUCCCUGCCCUUUGUACACACCGCCCGUCGCUACUACCGAUUGAAUGAUUUAGUGAGGUCUUCGGACUGGUGCUCGGAGCGGCUUUCGGGUCGCGCCGGUGUACCGGAAAGAUGACCAAACUUGAUCAUUUAGAGGAAGUAAAAGUCGUAACAAGGUUUCC